rnacentral:piRNA from 1 species
GAGAUGCCUUUGGAAGGGGACCCGGUA